AUCCCAUAAUGAGGACACUUACGAAGUAACUCUUUGAAUCGCUCCCAAGCCUCACACGAAGACUCGUUAUCCAAUUGUUAGAAUGUUGUGAUCUCGUUCCUCAACUU
rnacentral:snoRNA from 1 species